AUUUUUCAUAGAGACGAGAAAGUGUUAAGUAGAAUAAAAAAGAAUUAAAGCAAGUGUAGGCGAGAUGGUCUAGUGGUAAGGACAAAGUGUUGCAAGUGCGUGAAGCCAGGUUCAAGUCGUGGUUGUGCCAAGAGCAUUUUAAUGCCGGGCGUCGUUGUUAAUUAAUUCCACCCAAGACGAGAAAGAGUUAAGUAGAAUAAAAAAGAAUUAAAGCAAGUGUAGGCGAGAUGGUCUAGUGGUAAGGACAAAUUGUUGCAAGUGCGUGAAGCCAGGUUCAAGUCGUGGUUGUGCCAAGAGCAUUUUAAUGUCAGGCGUCGUUGUUAAUUAAUUCCACCCGAGACGAGAAAGAGUUAAGUAGAAUAAAAAAGAAUUAAAGCAAGUGUAGGCGAGAUGGUCUAGUGGUAAGGACAAAUUGUUGCAAGUGCGUGAAGCCAGGUUCAAGUCGUGGUUGUGCCAAGAGCAUUUUAAUGUCAGGCGUCGUUGUUAAUUAAUUGCACCCGAGACGAGAAACCGUUAAGUAGAAUAAAAAAAAUUAAAGCAAGUGUAGGCGGAGAUGGUCUAGUGGUAAGGACAAAGUGUUGCAAGUGCGUGAAGCUAGGUUCAAGUCGUGGUUGUGCCAAGAGCAUUUUAAUGUCAGGCGUCGUUGUUAAUUAAUUCCACCCGAGACGAGAAAGAGUUAAGUAGAAUAAAAAAGAGUUAAAGCAAGUGUAGGCGAGAUGGUCUAGUGGUAAGGACAAAGUGUUGCAAGUGUGUGACCCCAGGUUCAAGUCGUGGUUGUGCCAAGAGCAUUUUAAUGUCAGGCGUCGUUGUUAAUUAAUUCCACCCGAGACGAGAA